rnacentral:misc_RNA from 1 species
AAGUCGUAACAAGGUUUCCGUAGGUGAACCUGCGGAAGGAUCAUUAACACUUUUUGUUGAUUGUUGGUUUUUUCUUAUAAAAACCGACAACCACAAUUAUCCUAUCCAAAAUGAAGAGCUUGUGAGCAGUGUGCUUUUUUUGUCUCUUUCGAGACAAAAAGCUGUGCUCCCAUUUUCUCACUUUUUUCCUUUUUCCAAUUUAAACAAAAACCCCAAUCACACAAAUCUAAAUCAUUUGUGAGAUUGCAAACAAUCAAUUUGCUAUCUUGACAAUCUAAAAACAACUAGUAAGAGAUUACAUCUCAAAAUGUAACCAAACAACUCUUAACAACGGAUAUCUUGGCUCUC